rnacentral:lncRNA from 1 species
CUACUAUUCCUUCUCCUGCUAUUUCCUCUUCUCCUGCCUCCCCUCUAUCCACUGCUUCUCCUGAUUUUCCUGGCUCUCAGCCUGUUACCAUACCCAGAAAAUCCACUAGACAACACAAUCCUCCUUCCUACCUCAAGGAUUAUGUUUACCAACUUCCAGCCUUUUCUGGUUCUUCUUCCUCUAAUUUGGAAUCUGAACCCAUGUAUUACUCUCAAGCUGCAUCUGUCCCAGCUUGGCAGGAUGCC